rnacentral:rRNA from 1 species
GCUCAGGAUGAACGCUAGCUACAGGCUUAACACAUGCAAGUCGAGGGGUAGCAGGGUAGCAAUACCGCUGACGACCGGCGCACGGGUGAGUAACACGUAUCCAACCUUCCCAUAACUCGGGGAUAGCCUUUCGAAAGAAAGAUUAAUACCCGAUAGUACUUUAUUAAGGCAUCUUAAGAAAGUUAAAGAUUUAUUGGUUAUGGAUGGGGAUGCGUUCCAUUAGAUAGUUGGUGAGGUAACGGCUCACCAAGUCUUCGAUGGAUAGGGGUUCUGAGAGGAAGGUCCCCCACAUUGGUACUGAGACACGGACCAAACUCCUACGGGAGGCAGCAGUGAGGAAUA